ACGGAGGAUCCAAGCGUUAUCCGGAUUUAUUGGGUUUAAAGGGUGCGUAGGUGGAUUGAUAAGUCAGCGGUGAAAGUUUGCAGCUUAACUGUAAAAUUGCCGUUGAAACUGUCAGUCUUGAGUGCAAAUGAGGUAGGCGGAAUGUGUUGUGUAGCGGUGAAAUGCUUAGAUAUAACACAGAACUCCGAUUGCGAAGGCAGCUUACUGGGAUGCAACUGACACUGAGGCACGAAAGCGUGGGGAUCAAACAG
rnacentral:rRNA from 1 species